GCGGGGGUCCCAUAGUUCGGUCAAUUGGACUAGGUUGAGGGCCUAGUGGCUUAGUGCCUGCGCAGGUUCAAAUCCUGUCCUCCGCA
rnacentral:tRNA from 1 species